rnacentral:lncRNA from 1 species
GUGCUAGGUGUCAUCCCUCACUUUGAAGGGCACACGAAGCAAGAUAUCUAUGUAUAAUAAUUAAUUUUCUUAUUUUUGUUUUUACUUUUAAUGACUAGAGGCAACGGAAGCAAAGGAAAAAAUAAGAGUUCUCUAUUAUAAGCCUCUGGAACGAACAGGUUCUUCAUAUAUUAAAAAGAGGACAACUAAAAGUACAUUAAAGGACCAGUUCACAGAUUAAAUAAGAGCUAUAAGCAAAAGUACUUUAUAAAAUUCUAAAUGACAAAUGCUAUUUUAUCAUUAGUAGUAUAAUGGGACACAUGUCCCCACCUUGGUCCGCCUCCAUUAGGCUUAGUUCUUAAUGAAGUCCUUCUCAUAAGACAGAGGGAUAUGUAGAGAUAGAAUGCUACAGGUGGAGAAGGACAGAAGUUGGAUGAAAACAGAAAACAGAAAGAAGUAUAAAAGUAGAAGGAAGGAAAGAACAGGAACAGAACUGGUGCAUUUCUAAAUUCCU